UGAAUCGGUAAUUGAGUUAGAAAUUGAGAAAUUAAAGUGGGUUCGGUGAACACAUUAUGAUGAGGAAGAAUUAGUGAUUGAUGUGUGAGUUUUAAUGAAGAUUAGAGAAGCUAAGUUUUAGAUAUUGUGGUGGAUGAUUUUGCGAGUUGCAGGAAUCACAUUAUGGAUCUCUCCGAAUUUUGUGGCUGAAGAGGAUGUGGAAACAGUUGAAACUGCUGGAACACAAACAGUUGAAUUCUGUGUAGACAUAUUUCUAAAAUUCAUGAAUCCAGGAGGACUUACAAGUUGAUUUAGGCAUACUUAGGGAUCUUCGAUCUAAACUGGAGGAAUUCUUCAAUGCACAAAUGGCUUACUUGUGCGGAUAGAAUAGAAAUCAUGAUGCUCGGUAAGCUUCACAGUUUCUUAAACAAAGAGAUUCCAGAAAACAUGAUUGUGAGGAUUUCACAUGGCUACAUAUAGUUCCCAAUUCUCAAAGGCUGUGGCUCAUGAAAACAUGACUGCGAGGCAACGACAAUUAAGAAAAAGGAAUUUAGGAAGACUGGUGGAGAUGAGGAACGAAUGGCAGCCAUUGCAGCUUACAUGAAGCUUAAUUGGCAGGGCCUUCAGAAGAAGGUUGUCUUUGUUACUGUUAUUACAGAUCUCAACACCUUCCAUCGCACAUGGUUCAACACUGGUGUCAACCAAUGCUACUGCCCUUCGGACGAGGUUUCCAAGAGGGCGUUGGUUGAUGGCCUAGAGUCAUCCCAGAUUCGCGUGUUUGCUUUGCCAUCCAGGCCCUCGUUUUUUCGGCUGUAAAGAAAACUGCAAGAGCUCUCGGCGAAGCACUAUUCAGUGCAGAACUUGGUAAACCAAUUGGACAGAUCACCAUGGAAAGUCCAGUAAAGGUAAUAGAUCAGAUGAUUCGAGACCCAAAUGGAGAAAUGGAUGGGUGCUUGUGACUGCAUUAUAACCAAAGCUGGACUUGGAACAAUUGCGGAGGCCUUGAUAAGGGGCCUUCCAAUCAUGAAGCAAUGGCUAGGCAGUUGUAUUGCAGGCUCUGGUGUUGUGUUGGUGCAGUCGGUGUGUCCAAGGGCUAGAAAGGUUUUACUAAAACAAAAGUGUUGUUAGAUUUUUAAUUUUUUUUGGUGUUGAAGUUCUGUAAAACUGAUCUUAUGUAGUAACAAACAACAGAUCUUGUCUUUUU